AGAGUUUGAUUAUGGCUCAGAGUGAACGCUGGCGGCGUGCUUAACACAUGCAAGUCGAACGAGAACGGAUUAUAGCUUGCUAUAAUUGUCAGCUAAGUGGCGCACGGGUGAGUAAUGUAUAGGUAAUAUGCCUCUUACUAAGGGAUAACAAAUGGAAACGUUUGCUAAUACCUUAUACUCCUUAUUAACAUAAGUUAAUAAGGGAAAGAUUUAUUGGUAAGAGAUUAGCCUGUAUUGUAUCAGUUAGUUGGUGGGGUAAUGGCUUACCAAGACUAUGACACAUAACUGGUUUGAGAGGAUGAUCAGUCACACUGGAACUGAGACACGGUCCAGACUCCUACGGGAGGCAGCAGUGGGGAAUAUUGCACAAUGGACGAAAGUCUGAUGCAAGCAACGCCGCGUGGAGGAUGACACAUUUCGGUGCGUAAACUCCUUUUAUAUGAGAAGAUAAUGACGGUAUUAUAUGAAUAAGCACCGGCUAACUCCGUGCCAGCAGCCGC
rnacentral:rRNA from 1 species